rnacentral:rRNA from 1 species
GACGAACGCUGGCGGCGUGCUUAACACAUGCAAGUCGUACGGUAAGGCCCUUUCGGGGGUACACGAGUGGCGAACGGGUGAGUAACAUGUGAGUAACCUGCCCACAACUUUGGGAUAACGCUAGGAAAUUGGUGCUAAUACUGGAUAUGUGCUCCUGCUGCAUGGUGGGGGUUGGAAAGCUCCGGCGGUUGUGGAUGGACUCGCGGCCUAUCAGCUUGUUGGUGGGGUAGUGGCCUACCAAGGCGGCGACGGGUAGCCGGCCUGAGAGGGUGACCGGCCACAUUGGGACUGAGAUACGACCCAGACUCCUACGGGAGGCAGCAGUGGGGAAUAUUGCACAAUGGGCGCAAGCCUGAUGCAGCAACGCCGCGUGCGGGAUGACGGCCUUCGGGUUGUAAACCGCUUUCAGCAGGGACGAAGCUUUUUGUGACGGUACCUGCAGAAGAAGCACCGGCUAACUACGUG